AUUGAACGCUGGCGGCAGGCCUAACACAUGCAAGUCGAGCGGAUGAAGGGAGCUUGCUCCUGGAUUCAGCGGCGGACGGGUGAGUAAUGCCUAGGAAUCUGCCUGGUAGUGGGGGAUAACGUCCGGAAACGGGCGCUAAUACCGCAUACGUCCUGAGGGAGAAAGUGGGGGAUCUUCGGACCUCACGCUAUCAGAUGAGCCUAGGUCGGAUUAGCUAGUUGGUGGGGUAAAGGCCUACCAAGGCGACGAUCCGUAACUGGUCUGAGAGGAUGGUCAGUCACACUGGAACUGAGACACGGUCCAGACUCCUACGGGAGGCAGCAGUGGGGAAUAUUGGACAAUGGGCGAAAGCCUGAUCCAGCCAUGCCGCGUGUGUGAAGAAGGUCUUCGGAUUGUAAAGCACUUUAAGUUGGGAGGAAGGGCAGUAAGUUAAUACCUUGCUGUUUUGACGUUACCAACAGAAUAAGCGCCGGCUAACUUCGUG
rnacentral:rRNA from 1 species